rnacentral:rRNA from 1 species
UACGGAGGGGACUAGCGUUGUUCGGAAUUACUGGGCGUAAAGCGCACGUAGGCGGAUUUGUAAGUCAGUGGUGAAAGCCCAAGGCUCAACCUUGGAACUGCCAUUGAAACUGUCGAGCUGGAAUCUCAGAGGGGGUAGCGGAAUUCCAAAUGUAGGGGUGAAAUCCGUAGAUAUUUGGAGGAACACCGGUGGCGAAGGCGGCUACCUGGAUGAGUAUUGACGCUGAGGCUCGAAAGCGUGGGGAUCAAACAGG